CAGCCGCCGCGGUAAUACGUAGGGUGCGAGCGUUAAUCGGAUUUACUGGGCGUAAAGCGUGCGCAGGCGGCCCGUUAAGACAGGUGUGAAAUCCCUGGGCUCAACCUAGGAAUUGCGCUUGUGACUGGCGGGCUCGAGUACGGUAGAAGGGGGUGGAAUUCCUGGUGUGGCAGUGAAAUGCGUAGAGAUCAGGAGGAACACCGAUGGCGAAGGCAGCCCCCUGGGCCUGUACUGACGCUCAUGCACGAAAGCGUGGGGAGCAAACAGGAUUAGAUACCCUGGUAGUCCACGCCCUAAACGAUGGGUACUAGCCGUUUGGUGCGCGAUAGCGCUGAGUGGCGAAGCUAACGCGUGAAGUACCCCGCCUGGGGAGUACGGCCGCAAGGUUGAAACUUAAAGGAAUUGGCGGG
rnacentral:rRNA from 1 species